CCUACGGGUGGCUGCAGUGGGGAAUAUUGGACAAUGGGGGGAACCCUGACCCAGCCAUGCCGCGUGUGUGAAGAAGGCCCUCGGGUUGUAAAGCACUUUCAGUGAGGAAGAACGCCUGGUGGUUAAUACCCAUCAGGAAAGACAUCACUCACAGAAGAAGCACCGGCUAACUCCGUGCCAGCAGCCGCGGUAAUACGGAGGGUGCGAGCGUUAAUCGGAAUUACUGGGCGUAAAGCGCGCGUAGGUGGCUUGAUAAGCCGGUUGUGAAAGCCCCGGGCUCAACCUGGGAACGGCAUCCGGAACUGUCAAGCUAGAGUGCAGGAGAGGAAGGUAGAAUUCCCGGUGUAGCGGUGAAAUGCGUAGAGAUCGGGAGGAAUACCAGUGGCGAAGGCGGCCUUCUGGACUGACACUGACACUGAGGUGCGAAAGCGUGGGUAGCAAACAGGAUUAGAUACCCCUGUAGUC
rnacentral:rRNA from 1 species